rnacentral:rRNA from 1 species
GCAUUUAGAGUAAGUAAAAGUCGUAACUAGGUCUCCGUAGGUGAACCUGCGGAAGGAUCAUUA